UCCGGAUUUAUUGUGCGUAAAGCGCGUCUAUGCGGACUGGUAAGUUUGACGUGAAAAUGCGGGGCUCAACUCCGUAUUGCGUUGGAAACUGCCAAACUAGAGUACUGGAGAGGUAGGCGGAACUACAAGUGUAGAGGUGAAAUUCGUAGAUAUUUGUAGGAAUGCCGAUGGGGAAGCCAGCCUACUGGACAGAUACUGACGCUAAAGCGCGAAAGCGUGGGGAGCAAA
rnacentral:rRNA from 1 species